CGAAAGUCGGACUAAUACCGCAUAAAACAGGGGCACCGCAUGGUGAUAUUUGUUAAAGAUUUAUUGCUGAUAGAUGGGCAUGCGUUCCAUUAGGUAGUUGGAGAGGUAACGGCUCACCAAGCCUACGAUGGAUAGGGGAACUGAGAGGUUGGUCCCCCACACUGGUACUGAGACACGGACCAGACUCCUACGGGAGGCAGCAGUGAGGAAUAUUGGUCAAUGGGCGAGAGCCUGAACCAGCCAAGUCGCGUGAAGGAAGAAGGAUCUAUGGUUCGUAAACUUCUUUUGCAGGGGAAUAAAGUGCAGGACGUGUCCUGUUUUGUAUGUACCCUGAGAAUAAGGAUCGGCUAACUCCGUG
rnacentral:rRNA from 1 species